AUUUAACUAAAAAAGUAAAAAAAAAAUACCUGACCCCAUUCCGAACUCAAAAGUAAUUUUAUCUUUACUAAAACUACUUUUAAAUUAUUAUAAGGAAUUUUUAGUAAGGUUAAAU
rnacentral:rRNA from 1 species